GGGGGUAAUGGCCCACCAAGGCGACGAUCAGUAGCUGGUCUGAGAGGAUGAUCAGCCACACUGGGACUGAGACACGGCCCAGACUCCUACGGGAGGCAGCAGUGGGGAAUUUUCCGCAAUGGGCGAAAGCCUGACGGAGCAACGCCGCGUGAGGGAUGAAGGCCUCUGGGCUGUAUACCUCUUUUCUCAAGGAAGAAGACAUGACGGUACUUGAGGAAUAAGCCACGGCUAAUUCCGUGCCAGCAGCCGCGGUAAUACGGGAGUGGCAAGCGUUAUCCGGAAUUAUUGGGCGUAAAGCGUCCGCAGGCGGCCUUGUAAGUCUGUCGUUAAAGCGUGGAGCUUAACUCCAUUUAAGCGAUGGAAACUACAAGGCUUGAGUGUGGUAGGGGCAGAGGGAAUUCCCGGUGUAGCGGUGAAAUGCGUAGAUAUCGGGAAGAACACCAGUGGCGAAGGCGCUCUGCUGGGCCAUAACUGACGCUCAUGGACGAAAGCCAGGGGAGCGAAAGGGAUUAGAUACCCCUGUAGUCCUGGCCGUAAACGAUGAACACUAGGUGUCGGGGGAAUCGACCCCCCCGGUGUCGUAGCUAACGCGUUAAGUGUUCCGCCUGGGGAGUACGCACGCAAGUGUGAAACUCAAAGGAAUUGACGGGGGCCCGCACAAGCGGUGGAGUAUGUGGUUUAAUUCGAUGCAACGCGAAGAACCUUACCAGGGUUUGACAUCCUGCGAAUCCCUUGGAAACUUGGGAGUGCCUUCGGGAGCGCAGAGACAGGUGGUGCAUGGCUGUCGUCAGCUCGUGUCGUGAGAUGUUGGGUUAAGUCCCGCAACGAGCGCAACCCACGUCUUUAGUUGCCAGCAUUCAGUUGGGCACUCUAGAGAGACCGCCGGUGAUAAACCGGAGGAAGGUGUGGAUGACGUCAAGUCAUCAUGCCCCUUACAUCCUGGGCUACACACGUACUACAAUGCUACGGACAAAGGGCAGCAAGCUCGCGAGAGUUAGCAAAUCCCAUAAACCGUGGCUCAGUUCAGAUCGUAGGCUGCAACUCGCCUACGUGAAGGAGGAAUCGCUAGUAAUCGCAGGUCAGCAUACUGCGGUGAAUACGUUCCCGGGCCUUGUACACACCGCCCGUCACACCAUGGAAGUUGGCCAUGCCCGAAGUCGUUACUCCAACCCUUGUGGAGGAGGACGCCGAAGGUGGGGCUGAUGACUGGGGUGAAGUCGUAACAAGGUAGCCGUACCGGAAGGUGCGGCUG
rnacentral:rRNA from 1 species